rnacentral:rRNA from 1 species
AUUGAACGCUGGCGGCAGGCCUAACACAUGCAAGUCGAGCGGGGUUUUCGGACCUAGCGGCGGACGGGUGAGUAAUGCGUAGGAAGCUACCCGAUAGAGGGGGAUACCAGUUGGAAACGACUGUUAAUACCGCAUAAUGUCUACGGACCAAAGUGUGGGACCUUCGGGCCACAUGCUAUCGGAUGCGCCUACGUGGGAUUAGCUAGUUGGUGAGGUAAUGGCUCACCAAGGCGACGAUCCCUAGCUGGUUUGAGAGGAUGAUCAGCCACACUGGAACAGAGACACGGUCCAGACUCCUACGGGAGGCAGAAGUGGGGAAUAUUGGACAAUGGGCGCAAGCCUGAUCCAGCCAUGCCGCGUGUGUGAAGAAGGCCUUCGGGUUGUAAAGCACUUUCAGUAGGGAGGAAGCGUUGUGUGUUAAUAGUACACAGCGUUGACGUUACCUACAGAAGAAGCACCGGCUAACUCUGUGCCAGCCGCCGCAGUAACAC